AUCUGGUUAAUAUUCCAGAACCGCUCGUGAUUGCGAUGGAGUGACGGAGAAGGCUAGGUGUACCGGGCGUUGGUUGUCCCGGGGAAAGGCGGUAGGUGGAUCCUCUUGGCAAAUCCGGAGGGUCAUACACCGAGCACCGAGACGAGUCCUUUUAGGACGAAGUCACUGACGCCACGCUUCCAGGAAAAACUUCUAAGCUUCAGAUCACGAGGACCGUACCGUAAUCCGACACAGGUAGGCAGGGUGAGAAUCCCAAGGCGCUUGAGAGAACUCGGGUGAAGGAACUAGGCAACAUAGCACCGUAACUUCGGGAGAAGGUGCGCCCAGAAGUGUGGCAACACGCGUUGCUGAGCAUUUCUGGGCCGCAGUGACCAGGCCGCUGCGACUGUUUAUCAAAAACACAGCACUCUGCAAACACGAAAGUGGACGUAUAGGGUGUGACACCUGCCCGGUGCCGGAAGGUUAAUUGAUGGGGUCAGCCGCAAGGCGAAGCUCUUGAUCGAAGCCCCGGUAAACGGCGGCCGUAACGAUAACGGUCCUAAGGUAGCGAAAUUCCUUGUCGGGUAAGUUCCGACCUGCACGAAUGGUGUAACGACAGCGGCGCUGUCUCCGCCCGAGACUCAGUGAAAUUGAAAUCGCUGUGAAGAUGCAGCGUUCCCGCGGCAAGACGGAAAGACCCCGUGAACCUUUACUAUAGCUUUACAUUGAACGUUGAGUUCUUCUGUGUAGGAUAGGUGGGAGGCUUUGAAGUGCAGGCGCUAGCUUGCAUGGAGCCAUCCUUGAAAUACCACCCUGAAGUGCUUGACGUUCUAACCUAGGCCCGUAAUCCGGGUCGGGGACCAUGUAUGGUGGGUAGUUUGACUGGGGCGGUCUCCUCCCAAAGAGUAACGGAGGAGCACGAAGGUACGCUCAGCGCGGUCGGACAUCGCGCACUGUGUGCAAAGGCAUAAGCGUGCUUGACUGCGAGAUCGACGGAUCAAGCAGGUACGAAAGUAGGUCUUAGUGAUCCGGUGGUUCUGUAUGGAAGGGCCAUCGCUCAACGGAUAAAAGGUACUCCGGGGAUAACAGGCUGAUACUGCCCAAGAGUUCAUAUCGACGGCAGUGUUUGGCACCUCGAUGUCGGCUCAUCACAUCCUGGGGCUGUAGCCGGUCCCAAGGGUAUGGCUGUUCGCCAUUUAAAGUGGUACGCGAGCUGGGUUCAGAACGUCGUGAGACAGUUCGGUCCCUAUCUGUCGUGGGCGUUAGAGAUUUGAGAGGGGCUGCUCCUAGUACGAGAGGACCGGAGUGGACGAUCCCCUGGUGUUCCGGUUGUCACGCCAGUGGCAUUGCCGGGUAGCUACGAUCGGAAGCGAUAACCGCUGAAAGCAUCUAAGCGGGAAGCGCGCCUCAAGAUGAGAUCUCUCGGGACACAAGUCCCCUAAAGGCCCCAUGAAGACUACUUGGUUGAUAGGUCAGGUGUGUAUCGCGGUAAUGCCGAGCUAACUGAUACUAAUGAGCCGUGAGGCUUGACCU
rnacentral:rRNA from 1 species